rnacentral:misc_RNA from 1 species
GGUCAAUCUAUUGUAUUUUAUGAAGCGAUCAUUAUUGCAUUCAUGCCUUCAUAAUUAAACCAAUGGAAUUAUCAAUAGACGUCAACCUUUUUCGGAGAAUUGAUCAAAAGCCAACAAACCUUUAUAAUCGGUGGACCUUAAGUCAGGUAACAGUCAUAGACCUUGCUUUUCCGUCAUAAACCAGUUACAAUUUCAGGGACAUUCGUAUAUACUGGUAUAUUGCUAGAGGGAAUCAUUGAAACUAUGUCAGAAACUAGACACUCGGCAAU